UGGGGGAUAUUGCACAAUGGGCGAAAGCCUGAUGCAGCAACGCCGCGUGAGGGAAGACGGUUUUCGGAUUGUAAACCUCUGUCUUCGGUGAAGAAAAAAAUGACGGUAGCCGAGGAGGAAGCCACGGCUAACUACGUGCCAGCAGCCGCGGUAAUACGUAGGAGGCGAGCGUUGUCCGGAAUUACUGGGUGUAAAGGGAGCGCAGGCGGGGAAACAAGUCAGCUGUGAAAACUAUGGGCUUAACCCAGAAACUGCAGUUGAAACUUUUUGUCUUGAGUGGAGUAGAGGUAGGCGGAAUUCCGAGUGUAGCGGUGAAAUGCGUAGAUAUUCGGAGGAACACCAGUGGCGAAGGCGGCCUACUGGGCUCUAACUGACGCUGAGGCUCGAAAGUGUGGGGAGCAAACA
rnacentral:rRNA from 1 species